CAGUAGCCGCGGGAAUACAGAGGAUGCAAGCGUUAUCCGGAAUGAUUGGGCGUAAAGCGCGUCUAGGUGGUUAUGUAAGUCUGAUGUGAAAAUGCAGGGCUCAACUCUGUAUUGCGUUGGAAACUGUGUAACUAGAGUACUGGAGAGGUAAGCGGAACUACAAGUGUAGAGGUGAAAUUCGUAGAUAUUUGUAGGAAUGCCGAUGGGGAAGCCAGCUUACUGGACAGAUACUGACGCUGAAGCGCGAAAGCGUGGGUAGCAAACAGGAUUAGAUACCCCCGUAGUCCCUGUCUCUUAUACA
rnacentral:rRNA from 1 species